rnacentral:rRNA from 1 species
UGGGGAAUAUUGGACAAUGGAGGAAACUCUGAUCCAGCAAUUCUGUGUGUGUGAAGAAGGUUUUAGGACUGUAAAACACUUUUAGUAGGGAAGAAAAAAAUGACGGUACCUACAGAAGAAGCAACGGCUAAAUACGUGCCAGCAGCCGCGGUAAUACGUAUGUUGCGAGCGUUAUCCGGGAUUAUUGGGCUUAAAGGGCAUCUAGGCGGUAAGACAAGUUGAAGGUGAAAACCUGUGGCUCAACCAUAGGCUUGCCUACAAAACUGUUGAACUAGAGUACUGGAAAGGUGGGUGGAACUACACGAGUAGAGGUGAAAUUCGUAGAUAUGUGUAGGAAUGCCGAUGAUGAAGAUAACUCACUGGACAGAAACUGACGCUGAAGUGCGAAAGCUAGGGGAGCAAACAGG